GUCCACGCCCUAAACGAUGUCAACUAGUUGUUCGGUGAGGAGACUCAUUGAGUAACGCAGCUAACGCGUGAAGUUGACCGCCUGGGGAGUACGGCCGCAAGGUUAAAACUCAAAGGAAUUGACGGGGACCCGCACAAGCGGUGGAUGAUGUGGAUUAAUUCGAUGCAACGCGAAAACCUUACCUACCCUUGACAUGUCAGGAAUACUUGAGAGAUUGAGGAGUGCCCGAAAGGGAACCUGAACACAGGUGCUGCAUGGCUGUCGU
rnacentral:rRNA from 1 species